AUGAUCUGGAAGAGGCGCCUCAGGUACCGCUGUGGAGAGGGAGGAGUCAGGGUGUCAGAGGGAGGAGUCACAGCAUUAGAGGGAGGAGUCACAGCGUCAGAGGGAGGAGUCAGAGCGUCAGAGGAGGAGGGGCCAAAGCCUCAGAGGAGAAGUCACAACAUCAGAGGGAGGAGUCACAGCGUCAGAGGGAGGAGUCAGAGUGUCAGAGGAGGAGGGGCCAAAGCCUCAGAGGAGAAGUCACAACAUCAGAGGGAGGAGUCAGAGCGUCAAAGGAGGAGUCAGAGCGUCAGAGGAGGAGUCAGAGUGUCAGAGGAGGAGUCAGAGCGUCAGAGGAGGAGGGGCCAAAGCAUCAGAGGGAGGAGUCAGGGCGUCAGAGGAGGAGGGGCCAAAGCAUCAGAGGGAGGAGUCAGAGCGUCAAAGACGGAGUCAGAGCGUCAGAGGAGGAGUCAGAGUGUCAGAGGAGGAGGGGCCAAAGCAUCAGAGGGAGGAGUCAGAGCGUCAGAGGAGGAGGGGCCAAAGCAUCAGAGGGAGGAGUCAGAGCGUCAGAGGAGGAGUCAGAGUGUCAGAGGAGGAGGGGCCAAAGCAUCAGAGGAGAAGUCACAACAUCAGAGGGAGGAGUCAGAGCGUCAGAGGGAGGAGUCAAAGCAUCAGGGGAGGAGUCAGAGCGUCAGAGGAGGAGGGGCCAAAGCAUCAGAGGGAGGAGUCAGGGCAUCAGAGGAGGAGCCAGAGUGUCAGAGGAGGAGUCAGAGUGUCAGAGGAGGAGGGGCCAAAGCAUCAGAGGGAGGAGUCACAGCAUCAGAGGGAGGAGUCAGAGCGUCAGAGGAGGAGUCAGAGUGUCAGAGGAGGAGGGGCCAAAGCAUCAGAGGGAGGAGUCAGAGCGUCAGAGGAGGAGGGGCCAAAGCAUCAGAGGGAGGAGUCAGAGCGUCAAAGGAGGAGUCAGAGCGUCAGAGGGAGGAGUCAAACAUGUUCCUCCUCCUGAGGAUGGGAGUAGGAGCAGCAUGCAGGAGUCAUGCUGAUACUCCUUCAGCAGCUCCCACCUCCAGCAGGCUCCGCCGCUCCGCCACCAGUCGUUCGUCUCGGUUCCCAAACAGCAUCUUGGGCGGGAACUCCAGGACCGCCAGCUGGAGGAGAGAAGGUGACCGGGUUUAG
rnacentral:lncRNA from 1 species